rnacentral:tRNA from 2 species
CGGGCGGUGGCGGAGGAUUGGUCGCGCGCUGGUAACGCUCGCGGCGUGCCUGUUCUGCCCGGGCCUGCUCCU